GGGAAUUAUAUUCUGAAGUCAAUACUGGAGAUGCACCCCUUGCCGCCACUCUGUCAAAAUCUUUGUUCCAGACAGAAAUCAGUGACAGGGAGAUGUCCAGCCACUUCGUGGGAAGAAGGGCAUCAGUAUGCAUAGAGGUUGCUUGGGAAGACAAACACCAUAUCCAUUAAUGUCCUUGCAUUCUUCUCCUUUCCUCCAACUUUUACUGCUGAGCAUAACAUUCCAUUAUAUGGAAAAUCCCUUUGGUAUAUUGGAGUCAGUUGUCCUGGCAGUGUACCCUCCCACAUCUUGCUCAUUCCCAGCGUAUUGGCUCUGCGUGCCGAGUGUGGUUUGGAGAUGCAGUCUUGGUAAAGUGCAAGCACAGCUCAGAUGCAGACGAAACUGCCUAAACACAAAUACAAAGUGCAGCAAGCUGCCAUGAGGAAACUCCAUCCCAAAAAGACACUAUACAAAAUACACUUUUGUAUAGUCAUUACGGACAAAAGUGGCAAUAUACACAUGCGAUGUUUCAUGAUCAGUAGAAAUGCUACAACUGACAUUAUAUCAACAGUGCAACAGAAGUCCUUAACUUGCUGAUGAAAGCAACCUUGGGUUUUGGUGGAAACCUGAACCAGAAUAUUUAACAUCCUUCCUGCCUCAAAAACAAAUGUAUUUUCUGGAGAUUAUUCUUAUUGUACAUCUAGCAGAGGAGUCAUGUCAUCUGUGGGCUCCAGAGGGGAAUAGAAACAGUUCUUCAAAACCACAGUGUACAGCAAGACAACAAAUUCUAUAGGCAAAUGAACAACUCAUGAUACAAUAAACUUGGUAAAAUUCCACUUGUCAUAUUUAGUAAAAUGAAAAAUCACAGAAUUAAAAUAUGGGAUACAGGAGACAGAAAUAUUUCCCGUUUUAAUUAAAAUGAGGCAUUGUAUAACAGGUCAAACAGAUGGCACAAAGCGUUUUCAAAUACAAGGGAAAUUUCCAUUUCCUUUUUUCCAUGAUUACUCCUCCUCAUGUUUUCCCAGCCAACUUCAUCUCUAGGGUUACUGAAGCCAACUGCAUUGGCUGAUAGUUGACCUACAGAUAAACACUGUUAAGAUACCGAGAAAUUUAAAACCAUUAACAGAUGCUGUUGCAAAAGCAACAAAAUAGAAUCAUGAACUUAAGAAAUCGAACAAAGAAAAUAUUUUGUAUUCUUUCAUUUUUGAGCACUUUCAAGGUUAGGGAGAAGUUCUGUUUUGUUUAAUCUCUUGGCUCUAUUCAAUGCAGCCUAAUGGGUAGGGGAUUUCACACACUGAUGAAAAGUUUUCCAGUAGCAUUAGUUAUAACUGAAAUAGGCCCCACAUAUAUGACAGGAAUUACUUCUAUUCAUAUAUAGUUAUUAAAAAAUAGCACAGAACAUACAUUGUUUUACAUUUAACUUUCUUCCCAUCCUAUGUGUUUCAGUCAGCAUUUUUCUGUCAUUUGGAAGAGGUAACAUAAAAUUGAAAACUUUGAAUUGUUCAUGCAAGCAGCAAGACAAGGUUAGUAAAUUCUAAUUUAUAGGCAUAAAUGGAUGGAUUACUCAUGGAAAAAGUUUUCUCUGUGAUGUAGUCUUGUUGUGCAAUUGGUUAGAUACAGACAACAGCAGCUGUCUUGAACCUAAAAUAUUGAUUAUAGUUGCUAAUGAUGACUGGAGUCAAUAAUGUGAUCUGGCAUGUCAACCCAUAUGUUCCUGUAUCUCCAAGGCAACAAUACAUUUUAAAGCUGCUCACAAUUUUAUGUUUAUAAUAUUUUAUGUCAGGUACUAAUUCAGAAUAAUGAUUUUUCUGUGAGGCCUUUAGGUAACCUAAAAUUUUUAGAUAUUAAUUACUUGAAUUACAGUCAUUUUCUAUCAAGCUACCACAGCAGUCACACCUGUAUAUGAUCAUCAGAACUGAGUAGAUUGAAAUAAUUCUGUAAGACUUACUAUAAUAUUUUCAAAUCUUGUAAUGAGCUUUCAUGACUUCUAAGUGUCUUAAUCAAAUCUGAAUGCUCUCACUUAGUGGAGAACAUGUCAUUGUUUCAACCUAAGUCCAUUUUACUUUUUGUGUAGGCUGUACGUACUUUACAAACAUAUUUAUUUGUAUGUGAAACAUAACCUGUGCUUCUGGUUGCAUCACAAAAUGUUUACUAAUUAAUCCUGUCUGGAACAAAUUAUUAUAAUGAAAAAACAAUAAAGAGCAAAACUGGAUACUCCAGAACUGGGCCUUGAGCUUUGUUUUAUGGAAGAAACCUCUGCCAGAGUGUGGUAUAUGGAGUGCCAGACCAAUUUCUGGCUCUUCAUUCAUUCAACAUCUUAGUCACUCUAACUAGCUGGUAAUACUGUUCCAUCUCCUCUCAUGCGGGUGUAGGCACGAUUCCUUUAUCCCUCCAUUACACUCUGCAUUGGCAACAUAAAAGACUUUAAUGUAAAAGCUGUACAUUUAAUUUACAUUUAAUUUGACAGAACUUAAGUGCAUCUUUCCUCACUUUCACUAUGCUGCAGUGAUACACAGUAAACAUGUCAAUGAGUGCUGGUUACUAUGCAACUUCUGUGCUUGUAGGUAAGACAUAAAUAAUACGAG
ensembl:lncRNA